CACACGCGCGCGCGCACACACAGUGACCGCCGUCGUUCCUUGAUGACCCACAGUCUGCUCAUUUCCGAAAGCUUACGGAGAUUCACCGAGCAGCGACCCGGCCCCUCCCGUCCCCCUCCUCCGCGCUACAGCGACUCUCCCCUCGGCUCCACUCCGAGGAGGAACCCGGUGCCCCCGGUUGAUCGUUUCCAAUUACGUUACCCCAAGAUGGAGGUCUGCAGAUGGCAUUGCUAGCGUCUACGAGUCACCGUAACCGUCCGUGUGUCUUUAAUGACGCUUUUGUCAGGACAGAAGUAAUUUGGUGCCAUCUUUUUGUCGAUUUUUUGGGGGAUUUACUCGGGAGAUACUGAGCUUCAGGUUCGGGUUGAGGCAACCAUGAGCUCCGGAGAAGGAGCGGAGGAGACGACGAAGGACGCCAGCGACAUAACGCCGUUUUUGAAGACCGAUGGAUCCCUCCCUAAAGAGCCAAAAGGAGAUGUAUCGAGUCAGAUAGCAGGCUUCAGGAGAAAUGAGGAGAUGAGAGCAAUGGAGGUGCUUCCCAUCCUCAAAGAAAAAGUUGCUUUUUGUCAGGUAAGAUUAUGUGUUUGAAUGUGAGUGUGUGUGUGUGUCUAGCCUCACAAGUCUGCCAACCUCGGCUGUCUGAUCAUAGUUGAUGAGGCUAAUGAAACAUGAAGUUGAGGCCUUAGUUUACACAUGCAGCUCCCAGGUACUAAACUAUACACAUACGCAGCUUCGUGCGCAGCUUCCAUCUCGCUCAGUCUGUCUCUCUCACACACACACACACACACACACACACACACACACACACACACACACACACACACACACACACACACACACACACAAA